UACGUAGGGGGCAAGCGUUGUCCGGAUUUAUUGGGCGUAAAGAGCUCGUAGGUGGUUCGGUAAGUCGGAUGUGAAAUCUCCAGGCUCAACCUGGAGGGGUCAUUCGAUACUGCCGUGACUAGAGGUCGGUAGGGGAGUGUGGAAUUCCUGGUGGAGCGGUGAAAUGCGCAGAUAUCGGAAGGAACACCGGUGGCGAAAGCGGCGCGCUGGAUCUCUUCUGACGCUGAGGCGCGAAAGCUAGGGGAGCAAACGGG
rnacentral:rRNA from 1 species